GAGUUUGAACCUGGCUCAGGAUGGACGCUGGCGGCGUGCCUAAUACAUGCAAGUCGAGCGAACCACUUUGGUGGUGAGCGGCGAACGGGUGAGUAACACGUAGGUGAUCUGCCCAUCAGACGGGGACAACGAUUGGAAACGAUCGCUAAUACCGGAUAGGACGAAAGUUUAAAGGUGCUUCUGGCACCGCUGAUGGAUGAGCCUGCGGCGCAUUAGCUAGUUGGUAGGGUAAAGGCCUACCAAGGCGACGAUGCGUAGCCGACCUGAGAGGGUGAACGGCCACACUGGGACUGAGACACGGCCCAGACUCCUACGGGAGGCAGCAGUAGGGAAUCUUCGGCAAUGGGCGAAAGCCUGACCGAGCAACGCCGCGUGAAUGAUGAAGGCCUUCGGGUUGUAAAAUUCUGUUAUAAGGGAAGAACGACUUUAGUAGGAAAUGGCUAGAGUGUGACGGUACCUUAUGAGAAAGCCACGGCUAACUACGUGCCAGCAGCCGCGGUAAUACGUAGGUGGCGAGCGUUAUCCGGAAUUAUUGGGCGUAAAGAGCGCGCAGGUGGUUGAUUAAGUCUGAUGUGAAAGCCCACGGCUUAACCGUGGAGGGUCAUUGGAAACUGGUCGACUUGAGUGCAGAAGA
rnacentral:rRNA from 1 species